CCCUUAGAUGUUCUGGGCUGCACGCGCGCUACACUGAUGCGCUCAACGAGUUUUAACCUUGCCUGGAAAGGUUGGGUAAUCUUUUUAAAACGCAUCGUGAUGGGGAUAGAUUAUUGCAAUUAUUAAUCUUCAACGAGGAAUUCCUAGUAAGCGCGAGUCAUCAGCUCGUGCUGAUUACGUCCCUGCCCUUUGUACACACCGCCCGUCGCACCUACCGAUUGAAUGGUCCGGUGAAAUCUUCGGAUCUGAGAGAUGUCUGAUUAAUUUCGGACGCCUUUUGGAAAAGUUGUUUAAACCUUACCAUUUAGAGGAAGGUGAAGUCGUAACA
rnacentral:rRNA from 1 species